AUGGGGAUGAGGCGCCUGAUCCGGGCGUGUUGGGAACCAGUGAAGAUUUGGGGAUGGGACGAGGCGGCCGUGACCCUGCUGGAGUGCGGGGGGAACCUCCAGCCCCCCGGGGGGUCCCUGACUCUGCUCUGCCGUGGGAAUGGAUUCUCUUUCGGGGAUUAUGGAAUGUUCUGGACUCGCCAGAGCCCCGGGAAGGCGCUGGAAUGGGUCGCAGGGAUCAAGAACGAUGGCAGUUACACCCGGUACGCGCCGUCGGUGCAGGGUCGCUUCUCGAUCUCCAGGGACAACGGGCAGAGCUCGGUGACGCUGACCAUGAACAGCCUCAAGGACGAGGAUUCCGCCGUUUAUUUCUGCGGUAAAAGUGCUGGUACUGCUGGUGACCACGCUGUUGCUGAAUCUGGUGAUGGUGUCGAUCCCUUCCUGGUCACUGUGCCCUCUCCCUGUCCCCAAAUGUCGCUCAUGGUCAGCGACAUCGAGCUCUGCCCGUUGUCCCUGGAGAUCGAGAACCGACCCUUGACCGACGGCGCGUAG